rnacentral:rRNA from 1 species
AGUGAACGCUGGCGGUAGGCCUAACACAUGCAAGUCGAACGGCAGCACAGUAAGAGCUUGCUCUUACGGGUGGCGAGUGGCGGACGGGUGAGGAAUACAUCGGAAUCUACUUUUUCGUGGGGGAGAACGUAGGGAAACUUACGCUAAUACCGCAUACGACCUACGGGUGAAAGCAGGGGAUCUUCGGACCUUGCGCGAUUGAAUGAGCCGAUGUCGGAUUAGCGAGUUGGCGGGGUAAAGGCCCACCAAGGCGACGAUCCGUAGCUGGUCUGAGAGGAUGAUCCGCCACACUGGAACUGAGACACGGUCCAGACUCCUACGGGAGGCAGCAGUGGGGAAUAUUGGACAAUGGGCGCAAGCCUGAUCCAGCCAUACCGCGUGGGUGAAGAAGGCCUUCGGGUUGUAAAGCCCUUUUGUUGGGAAAGAAAAGCAGCAGGUUAAUACCCCGCUGUUCUGACGGUACCCAAAGAAUAAGCACCGGCUAACUUCGUG